GCGCAGCAGGCGCGAAACCUCCGCAAUGCACGCAAGUGCGACGGGGGAACCCCAAGUGCCACUCUUAACGGGGUGGCUUUUCAGAAGUGUAAAAAGCUUCUGGAAUAAGGGCUGGGCAAGACCGGUGCCAGCCGCCGCGGUAACACCGGCAGCUCAAGUGGUAGCCGCUUUUAUUGGGCCUAAAGCGUCCGUAGCCGGUCUGAUAAGUCUCUGGUGAAAUCCCGCAGCUUAACUGUGGGAAUUGCUGGAGAUACUAUCAUGACUCGAGGUCGGGAGAGGCUGGAGGUACUCCCAGGGUAGGGGUGAAAUCCUGUAAUCCUGGGAGGACCACCUGUGGCGAAGGCGUCCAGCUGGAACGAACCUGACGGUGAGGGACGAAAGCCAGGGGCGCGAACCGGAUUAGAUACCCGGGUAGUCCUGGCCGUAAACGAUGUGGACUUGGNGUUGGGA
rnacentral:rRNA from 1 species